GCAUGCUAACAUCCGCUUCCUCUGGAAAGUACACAAAGAAAACGAUCCCAACGAUAUGGAACAAGCUUAGGGGAGAGACUGUAAGCCAUCAACUGGAGGAUUCUGAGGACAUGUAGCUCCCAUGUACUCAUCCCUCAAUUAUUAAUUGAAACAUCAGGAGUCUUCUGGAGCACCCGGGGAGUUAUGACAUCAGUUGUAACACAGGAGUUUUUGAAGAGACCUAAAGGUCUACUGCAGGUUACCAUAGUUGCAGUGCUCGUGAUUGCAGCCUCCAUUCAUGUGGAAGUGAUUCCAAUGGAAAGACAGGAAGUAACUUUCAUUCAUAGUGAU